GCCAGGUGCAGUGGCAUGCACUUGUAAUCCCAGCAGCUUGGGAGGCUGAGGCAGGAGGAUCGAGAGUUCAAAGCCAGUCUCAGCAAUUUAGCAAGGCCCUUAGCAACUCAGUGAGACCCUGUCUCUA
rnacentral:sRNA from 1 species